GAAUAAGCACCGGCUAACUACGUGCCAGCAGCCGCGGUAAUACGUAGGGUGCAAGCGUUAAUCGGAAUUACUGGGCGUAAAGCGUGCGCAGGCGGUUUUGUUAAGACAGUGGUGAAAUACCCCGGGCUCAACCUCGGGAACUGCCAUUGUGACUGCAAGGCUAGAGUGCGGCAGAGGGGGAGUGGAAUUCCGCGUGUAGCAGUGAAAUAGCGUAGAUAUGCGGAGGAACACCGAUGGCGAAGGCAAUCCCCCUGGGCCUGCACUGACGCUCAUGCACGAAAGCGUGGGGAGCAAACAGGAUUAGAUACCCUGGUAG
rnacentral:rRNA from 1 species